ACAUAACAUAGUGUAGUUGGUACAACUAUCACGAGUGGAUAAAGUGUAUACAAGUGGGUAUAUUGUUUAAAAUAUGAAUUGAGUGUGUAAACAUAAUUGAUUUCGUCUAGUUGUACAAGCAUGCAGCAGGCUUCAGGAGUUCUUGGGCUGGGGCACAAUGGUACAUCUCCACUCCCGUGGGCCAACGUCCCAUGGGCCCAUCAUUCUUUGCGGCCCAGCCUCCGCAACACGACACUCGGAGGCCCGAGCGUGGAAGUGUGGAACGCAGGCGGCGGCGGCGGCGCUCGCAGGCUCGGCGCCUCGUUGGUUCGCCGGCUCCCUCAGGCUCCCAGUCCCGCCCUCCAGGUUGAUGUUUUCCUCAUCCACUUCCACGCCACCACACUUUCGCCUCCCCUUGAUCUGCUCUGUUUGGCCCCCGCUGCCAUGCCGCCAUCAGUCUGUCACCGUGUGCCCGUCAGUCCGCCAUGAGGAGCAUGUCGUCACAAGCUCAGCAAGUCCGGCGUUCGGGCCCUUCUAAAGAGGUGCUUGUUGAAUUGCCUGUGAGUGAGUAAAAAAGGUGUGUCCACUGUCUUGCCUGUGAGUAAAUCCUACCCUGUAUAGCAAUGAUGUGGCCUGUAAGAGAUCGCAGUCUAAGUUCACCCUAGCUUUAUUCUUGGGCAGGGUCCCCCACUGAUGCAAUGUAAGAGUUUAAACAGUGGUGGAGCACAGGUUCAUGAACUAAUUUCUCUGAAUCAAAAAAAAAA